GGACAAACACGUAAUUACACUCUUAACUGUCUUUGUGACAGUGACAGUGUUUUGUGUCUGAUACUGUUUGGUAUAUUCUCUUCCCUUUCCUUCUUUCUUUCGAUUCCUGUUGGCUGUUUUUUCAAAUAGUGUCUCCUAUUUCUAUGUAAGGAAAAGCUUCCAUUCACCUCACACCAGAGAGAUAGAGAGAGAGAGAGAGAGAGAGAGAGAGAGAGACUGUGUGUGUGUUUGUGUCUCCCUGCAAUGGUGGUUCCAAGGCUCGGUGGUGGGUUGGAGGAUGGUGGAACCGGGCGUGGAACUAGGCCUAUCUGAACAAAUAACCAUUUCUUCCUUCUUCUAAAAACCACAAGAAAAAAAGUUAUUAUCUAAGAAGAAAAGAGAAAGAUAGUAUCUUUCUUUUAAGCUGAAAGCAAAGUUCUGAUUUUUGAGAGGUACCCUACUUUCAAAUUUGUUAUGUUGUGGGUGGAGUUCCUUCUUUUGUUGUUUAGAGUGAUGAGGCUUUAUUGGGUCUAUAUCUCUUAUACCCUUAUAUGGGUCCAAUCAUCUCAAUGGUGCAAAUGGAUCAAAAGAGUUGAUCUGGUAAAAGAUUAGAAGCCCUUUUGCCAUUGAUGAUUGUGUCAUCUGAUACAGCUGAUGUGUGCUUGGCUUUGUUGUCGAGGCAAAUCUUCUUUGGCAAUAUGGAAGAGGAAUUUCUUUUUCCUUUAUGGCAAUUACUUAUGUUUGAAGAUUAACUGAAAAGGGCAAAUCUCCUUUGGCAGAAAGUUCUUUAAUUUCUUUUGGUUGGAUUCAUUCCAGUAAUAAUAUAUGAAAGUAACUUUUUUUAGGCUGUAAAAGUAGUAUCAUUCAUAUGUGAUUCUUCUAGGAACUCCACCCUUUUUGUAGACAAAAUCCCCUUUGGCUUUUUUUUAUUAUUGGUUUGUUUCCUCCAAUAGCUAGAAAUUUUCAUUCCAGGAAACCACUACUCAAAAAGAGGGAGGAAAGAAAAAAACAGAAACCCAAAAAAAAAAAAGAAUCUGAUAGCUGUAGCUCUAUGAUAUUGUACUUCUGGAAACCUCUCUCAACAGUUUCUUUCUGUGAAAAUAUUCAGUCCAAAUUGGGCAAAUCUCCUUUGGCAUUUCGGAGUCCUUUGUUGACUCCCAUUAUCCUAUAAGGGCAUAUCUCCUUUGGUAUCAAAUCUCCAGGUUCAGUGGUGUAAGAUAAUCUUUUGGAGAUACUUGACUAACCAUCUGUGACAGCAAGAAGAGUCAGUCAGAAAUUGAUUGUACUACACUCAAUUGACCCUCUUGUGAUUAAAGCUAACACUUACACUGGGAUUUGAUAGUUCAA